rnacentral:rRNA from 2 species
AGUGGCGAACGGGUGAGUAACACGUGGGCAAUCUGCCCAAAAGUGGGGGAUAACACUUGGAAACAGGUGCUAAUACCGCAUCAACCGGCUGACCGCAUGGUCGGCCGGGCAAAGACGGCGUCAGCUGUCGCUUUUGGAUGAGCCCGCGGCGUAUUAACUAGUUGGUAAGGUAACGGCUUACCAAGGUGAUGAUACGUAGCCGAACUGAGAGGUUGAUCGGCCACAUUGGGACUGAGACACGGCCCAAACUCCUACGGGAGGCAGCAGUAGGGAAUCUUCCACAAUGGACGCAAGUCUGAUGGAGCAACGCCGCGUGUAUGAAGAAGGUCUUCGGAUCGUAAAAUACUGUUGUCAGAGAAGAACACGUGAUAGAGUAACUGCUAUGGCGCUGACGGUAUCUGACCAGCAAGUCACGGCUAACUACGUGCCAGCAGCCGCGGUAAUACGUAGGUGGCAAGCGUUGUCCGGAUUUAUUGGGCGUAAAGGGAACGCAGGCGGUCUUUUAAGUCUGAUGUGAAAGCCUUCGGCUUAACCGGAGAAGUGCAUUGGAAACUGGAAGACUUGAGUGCAGAAGAGGAGAGUGGAACUCCAUGUGUAGCGGUGAAAUGCGUAGAUAUAUGGAAGAACACCAGUGGCGAAAGCGGCUCUCUGGUCUGUAACUGACGCUGAGGUUCGAAAGCGUGGGGAGCGAACAGGAUUAGAUACCCUGGUAGUCCACGCUGUAAACGAUGAAUGCUAGGUGUUGGAGGGUUUCCGCCCUUCGGUGCCGCAGCUAACGCACUAAGCAUUCCGCCUGGGGGAGUACGAUCGCAAGAUUGAAACUCAAAGGAAUUGACGGGGGCCCGCACAAGCGGUGGAGCAUGUGGUUUAAUUCGAAGCAACGCGAAGAACCUUACCAGGUCUUGACAU